rnacentral:rRNA from 1 species
UACGGGGGGGGCAAGCGUUGUUCGGAAUUACUGGGCGUAAAGGGCUCGUAGGUGGCCAACUAAGUCGGACGUGAAAUCCCUCGGCUUAACCGGGGAACUGCGUCUGAUACUGGAUGGCUUGAGUUCGGGAGAGGGAUGCGGAAUUCCAGGUGUAGCGGUGAAAUGCGUAGAUAUCCGGAGGAACACCGGUGGCGAAGGCGGCAUCCUGGACCGACACUGACGCUGAGGAGCGAAAGCCAGGGGAGCAAACGGG